rnacentral:rRNA from 1 species
UACGGAGGGUGCAAACGUUGCUCGGAAUCAUUGGGCGUAAAGCGCACGUAGGCGGACUGUUAAGUCGGACGUGAAAUCCCUCAGCUUAACUGAGGAAGUGCAUUCGAAACUGGCAGUCUUGAGUACGGGAGAGGGUCGCGGAAUUCCCGGUGUAGAGGUGAAAUUCGUAGAUAUGGGGAGGAACACCGGUGGCGAAGGCGGCCACCUGGACGGCAACUGACGCUGAGACGCGAAAGCGUGGGGAGCAAACAGG